rnacentral:lncRNA from 1 species
CUGCCCGCCGUGCGGGGAGAGUCCCCUCGCUCUGACUCACAGCGGGGCUGUGCGGGGGGCGCGGCAGGCCCAGAUGGAGCGAAAUCAGGGGAAAAUAAAAGAAAUAAGCACUAAACCCCAGCCUUUGCUAAAAUUGUUUCCCAACGAGGAAGGAAUUGCAGAUCCGGCGACGCAAUUUGGUGGAAAAGGAUCUGAUUCCCGGGACGGAAACUUAGCACUCAAGUGGGAGCUUAGGAGGAGGUCCCGGCAGACAUUUCGGGUUUCGCAAGGAGCGCGGUUUCCUGACAGACGAGCGCGCAGGGAGCAGGCAGCGGGGGGAAAUCCUGCCGCCGCCCCACGGCGCCCGGGCGGCCCGGCUCGGCGGACGGGCAUGGAUGCACUAAUGGACGGAUGGAGGAUGAGCGCUGCCGGCGAGCAGCAGUGAUGUCGGCAAUAAUUAGGUAGAUACGGGCUCUGGUACUACAAAAUCCAUAAUGAAGGGCAGAUAAUCUGAAUGGGAACAGGAUUGAGCCCACAAUCCCAGAUUCUCUUUUAAACAUCAGCCUAAACAUGAAAUUUUUGAAGUGGAAAAGCUCACCAUAAUUCAUCAUUAUAUGAAAAUAUACCAGUUUUGAAAGUAAAAAAUAUAUAACUCAAUGGAUACAAUUACUGCUAAAUUCAAUAAAGAGAAAUUAUCAUGACUGAUGCUUAUUCA